GACGUAGGGCGCGAGCGUUGUCCGGAUUUAUUGGGCGUAAAGGGCGCGUAGGCGAUCUGACAAGUCUGGUGUGAAAGCCCACAUGUUAACUGUGGAAGUGCAUUAGAAACUGUUGGAUUUGAGUUCAGGAGAGGAAGGCAGAAUUCCCGGUGUAGCGGUGAAAUGCGUAGAGAUCGGGAGGAAUACCAGUGGCGAAGGCGGCCUUCUGGACUGGACACUGACGCUGGGGCGCGAAAGCCAGGGGAGCAAACGGG
rnacentral:rRNA from 1 species